AGUAAGACUUCUUACAUUCUCUCUGUGAGUGAUAGUGCCCACGUGUAAAUAAGGAAAAUAUUUAAGACGUAUAUCAUGAUAAACAGGACAA